GAAAAAUUAAUUGUUAAUUCACUUGCUGCUGGGUCUGUUUUAUUAUGCUCACAUAAGCAUUUACUCUUUAUUUUUAAUGCAUUUUUAAGAAACCUUUCAUCAUUGUGUCAUUUCAGCAGAUGUAUUGUAUUGACUCAGUGACUCAGUUUAGAUGUUGUAAAGCAUCUCAGUCUUGUUUGUAGUAGUGGAUGAACAUUUCUCACCAAAAACUUCUCACCCACUUUCUUUCAUGAGCAAACAAUCAUCUUUAUAACUCUUCCUGUAUCUUGGUUUUGUGUUGUUUUAUUCCUCAAGGAUCUUGAGAAGCUGAGACGCAACUGUGAUCUCCAUCAAGUCUCCUGUGCAACAAUAAAUAUUUUCCCACAGGAUAAAAGGAUCAAAGCUUGUAUGUAUGAAUAAUUCAUUCUCAAAGUGAUGAGAGGAGACAGAUUCUCCCCAUCCUGUCACUCAAAGCUCCAGAGAAAAACAAGCACUCGUGGAUUUAAAGAC